rnacentral:misc_RNA from 1 species
AACGCACAUUGCGCCCGCCAGUAUUCUGGCGGGCAUGCCUGUUCGAGCGUCAUUUCAACCAUCAAGCCCCAGGCUUGUGUUGGAGCCCUGCGGCUGCCGCAGCCUCCCAAAAUCAGUGGCGGGCUCGCUAUCACACCGAGUGCAGUAGUUUACUCUUCGCUCAGGGCGUGUGGCGGGUGCUGGCCGUGAAACCCCCAACUUCUCAAGGUUGACCUCGGAUCAGGUAGGAAUACCCGCUGAACUUAA